CAACGCUGCCCGGGGAUAUUUUUCAUGAGCGCUUCUUGAUGAACCUCUGUCGCUGUCUGCCUCCAAGGCCAUCGCUAUCAGUCAAGCGGAAUGGUGCGCUGAUCGGCCGGGAAAAUAAUAGACUUAGCCUCUGUCAAGUUGCAGUCUGCCCUGGAUGUGACUCACUUUGCAGUGGAUGGAUGCCAUGUUUACAUGAAGAUUUCCUGGCUUGUUCUGGAAGAUGGAGCAGCCUAUUAUGUGAAUUAACUACAGUAAUCCUGUAAUACAUUUUAGAGGUAUACUCCACUGUAUAAAUAUGACAGGAGACCAAAAUACUGGUACCACAGGACUAUUCAUUUAUCAGUCUAAGGUCACUCAAAACUCACAUGUUUACUCAUAGAAACCUGUAUGAUGAAUUUAUUAUUUACCCAGUGUCUUCACUGCCACAGGAAGCUAAUUCACUUUCCUUCAGCCUGGUGACAUGGACCCAGUGGCCAUUUUCAUGGAUGUACUCCAAAAAAUCAGACACACCAUAAAAUGAAAAGCACAAUCCUACAAACGACAAAGAGCAGAAUUUUGCUCUAGUAGUAAUCAUCUUGCUGCCCAUGAUUUGUUUUUCUGGAUUAAAAUCCUAAAUCACAUCAUCCUCUGCCUCCUGUGUGGCAGACUGGCUGAGGACAAGUUAGAAGCCUUCACCUGUUUGCCCUACAUUUUAUGAGAGGAUUUAAAAGGAUGCGCUGCAAUCACAGAAAGCUAUUUCAAGUCUGUCAUCUCUUUCUGUAGUAUUAUUAAUUCAACUAAAUCAUAUAAACUGGUUCUGUGAAAGGAAAGGUAUUACAAUGUUUGUGUAAUGUUUUGUUCUCAGGCCUGCUAGUACUAAAAGUCUUCUAAUGGUUCAGAAUGCUGCAGCUAAAAUUUCAACUAAAACUAAAACUUUGAUCACAUUACACCAGUUUUGACAUCCCUUCAUUGGCUCCCUACCCAAGUCAGUUAGUUGCUUAUUCUUUGAUUACUUCAUGACUUGUACCUGUUACCAUUAUCUGGUAAUCUUGGUCUCAGUCUCAAUGAAUCUAUUAAGCCUAGUACUAUUGUCCAUGUUUGUCCUGCAGAUGAGAAAACUGUACACAAAACCACUGCAUCUCUCUAACCCUGUUUGUUUGUGUCCCACAAGUACAUGAGCGUCCAAUCUGUGUGCCAAUCUCUCUCUCCCUAGUUUCUCCUCUGUGUCCUCUCUUUUCACUCAGACCUCUCUGUGCUGGACCAUCGGCCAUCCCGGGACCUCUCUCUCCCUCCUGGCUGUCGGUACCUCUCUCCAGAUGUUUUGGAUUUGGAGCUUCGUCCUCCAGGAGAUUCAGUAUCUCCUCUUGUCUCUCUCUCUCUCUCUCUCCUUUGUGUGCAUGUUGUCCUUGUCUCUCUCUCCCUCUGUGUCUGUGUGUGUGUGUUUGUUUCCUUUCUCUCUCCUGUCUGUGUGAAUGGUGUGCUUGAGUGUUGCCUCUUGUGUGUUUGUGUAGUCCGUCCUCUUCCAGGUCUUCCAGGUGGAGAGGAGGUCAUGUGGCUCAGGUCUGUUUCGGGAUACCUGAAAUUGCUCAACCUCCUACAUGAUCCAUAUUCUUCAUAUGAAGAAUAUAUGAAGAAUCUAUCUAUAAUUUUGUCACCCUCAUUGUCCAUACUGUAAUUUUACAAUGUUGGUCUAUUCUGUACACACACAACAUCUAUUGCAUGUCUUUCCGACCUGGGAGAGGGAUCCCUCCUCUGUUGCACUUCCUGAGGUUUCUUUUCUCAUUUUGUCCCUGUAAAGGGACUUUUUUGGGGAGUUUUUCCAAAUCUGAAUCAAGGCUCCAAGGAUAGAGGGUGUCCUAUGCUGUACAGAUUGUAAAGCCCCUUGAGGCAAAUUUGUGAUUUGUGAUAUUAGGCUCUCUAAAUAAAAUAGACUUGACUUGACAAAUGCUGCAUUAUGUCUGAAUUAUCAAAAACAUCUGUCAAAACAUCUGUCUAAUAGAUCAUGUAUAGUUCGUUUUGUGUAUAUAUGCAUCAGAAAUGUAUGAGGUCUAUCCUUUCCCCCAUUAGUAGUUAUGAUUACAAAAGAACCGUGUUUUAUUAUAGUGGUGUGAUACAACAUGGGUCAGUACAAUCAGUGUGAGUGCAAUCAGGGCAUAAAUCUCAUGUUUUAGUCAUCCCAUCACAAUGGACAUUGGACAUUUCCCAGUAUGAAUUGCUCAUUCUUAUUCAAGCUCUGUAGAAACCUGGUAUGGAUGUCAGGGGGGUUCAGAGAGGAACAUUAAGAGGCCAAAGUUUUAGCUUUCUUUUGUUUUAUUUUUUAUACUGGUUGACAACUUUCCAAAGUGACAAAUUACUUUACAGUCACAAGAAAAAAGAAAAUCACUGAACUGUGACAUGGUCUUAUACAUGGUGACCCACAGGUGCAAUAAAGGAGUGGACUCUGGACCAGCUCCAGCAGUGUUCAGCCCUGUCUUUGUUGUACAUCAACAUUAACACACUGUAAAUCACAUUUUGGCAAAGGUAACCAUGAUAAUAACAUUCUCUGACCUUUGCCAUCAGAGACGUUGUCCAGACACAGUCCUCAAGCUGUACUGAGGAAGUGUUGUAACAGUGCCAUCUAUCAUUGUGAAAUGCUUGAGGAGAACUGGAUAUGAGUGUGUGUGUGUGUGAGUGUGUGUGUGUGUGUGUAUUUCAUUUUUGGCUUUCAUCAGGUUAUCUGUUUGUGGUUGCUUACACAACCACACUUAUACAUCCUGAUAGUAUUUGUUUAUGUUGUUCUGACCUAUCAGAGUGGAUGACAGGACUUCUUCACAGAAUGUUCCAGUAAGCUGCUGUAAUGUCUAUGGUAUAUGCUGUAUGCUGUAGCUCUACAAUCUUAAAGAUAAUUCAAAAAUAAGAGCCCCCAAAAAUAGAACUCCAAAUAUUUUCUUGACACAUGGCUCGCAUUUAUUGUUGUAACACAGUGAAAGUGGAUAAAAAGUAUACCAGGUGCAAUCAUGAGCAUGAAUAGUACUAUAAAACAGCCAGAAUUUUCUUAACACUGCAAGUUUCCAAAUUAUGGCGUGACUCAUAAUGAUAACAGUUUUUUUUAUUUUGUUAUGGUUGACUAAUUAGCUUUGUCAUGGUUAACUUAGACCUCUGGGCUCGGAAGAUUUGGCCGCGCGCAGAGAGAGAUGCAGUGUUACGUAUUUUAAGAAACUAAAAAUACCCUCUGCACUACACAGAAGGACACCAAGAGGAAUGUUACAGGGUCAUGGGCCAAUUCUAAUCAAAAGUACAUGGGUAAAGUUUACAGCCUCGUCCCACUGUAUUCUUGAAUAAACUUCUGCUUUUUAGACAUACUAUAUAUUAUAGAAUGUGUUCCCGUUGUCAUAACCUUUUUGGAUAAUGGCACAUAAAACUAUUCAUCAUGUUCUGACACACUGGGCCAGAGAGACGUCAUUGGCCAGUUGUUUGGCUGCCAGAGACAACAGACUGCCUGUGCUUGCGCCUGUUGAAGGAGAACGCAGGCCUUGCUGCUGCCCCUGUAUGUGCAUAUGUGUGUAUAUAUACCAGUGACUCACAUGCAUUUUAGUGUGUGUAAAUGUGUCUCUGGGGGCUGUGCAGCAGUGAUGACUGCUCUCUCUCACUUCUUCCCUCUGCCCCCCCGUGUUUGGUUAAACAUCAGAAAUGUUAUUUGAAGGUGCUGCUCUGACCCUUUCCUGCUCCUGGGGGGGGGCAGUGCAGUUAUAAUGAUUUUCUGUUUGUUUUUGUAUGUGGGGUGGGGGCAAUAAAGAUUAGUCA